ACAUCGUCAAUUUUCCGCCAAGUAAAUAACUGUUUAGCAGUGUUUCCAAAAUCAUAAUAACUAAAAACGGGUUUUUCCAUCCAACGGAUCGAACAAAUUGUAACCAAUCACGAGGAUGGUGUAUUUUUAAUAAUGUUUUUUUCUUCUUUUUUUCGAUUAGUGCAUAGUCGCUAUCACACUCCAUGUGAGUGUGACCAGGCACUAAGAAUUUGUGAUCUAUAGUAGUUAUAUUGCUGUCCAUUUGCGCAAAAAUUUCAAACAUUGUUGCAACGUAACUAUUUUUAUUUUGACCUGGACAGCAAUCACUAUAAAAAACUACGUGUUUUGUAUUAGAGUCCAUAUUUUGAAGAUGGUUAAAAACACAGGAAGCUAUCUCAUUUCCUCCUCUUUUUGCUAGAGCUCCAUGCCACAUAUAACAUAUUGCUUGAUUGGUCUCAAGAUCAUGAACAGUUAAAUUGAAUGUCCAUAAUGGUCGUUUGUAAAAAGACAAGGAAGUCCUCAACAUUGGUGUUGGCAGGCAUUGCUGAAGAUCAAAACAAAACAACUUAAUACGCUAGACAGACGGCAGAGUUAACUCGGAUUAACUACGCUUUUAAUCAGUUCCAAUUUUGUGGGUGACAGACGGCAGCAAAGCGAGUUAUAAACUCCCAUAACAGCUGAUUGGCAAUAAUAUUUUCAUUUUGGUGAAAUAAAAUUGGAUAGAAAGGAAAUAUUGCGGUUGUUAGCCGCACAACUACUGCAAAAUCACUAAUUAUUAAAAAAAUUUACAUAAAUACGUUAUUAUUAAAACUUCCAUUUUAGAAAAAAUUAGCAUGCGUAUGUUUUUGUUUACAUUUAAUUGAAAAACAGCUGUCAGUAUUGCAUAUUUUCAUUCACAAUAGAUAAAAAGCGGCCAUGUUUAACAAUGUUGCCAACGAAAAUGACACGAACUCCCACUAGCUCUCUAAAAUUUUGAGGAUUAAAUGGGAGUUAGUAAACCGAGUUAACUGAGAUAACUCUCGAAUUAACCCCGAUUAAAGCUGUUAUUCCGAAUUAACGCGCCGUCUGCCAGGGGUAUAAGUGAAGCAUCUUUCAUAGCUUUUGCCUUAUCAACUUUCUUCGCGUCAUAUGCUUGUUGUGCUUCACUAAGAUGAUGUGCUUGUUCUGCUUUUAGAGAAUCAACCUCUUCUACAACUGUUACCUUAUGUUCAAGUAAGUCGCAUUUGUGGCAAGUAUCAAGCUUGGGUUUUUUAAAUUUCAAUCCUACUUGAUUAAACAGCCUCGAAAAUAUUGUUAACGCCACAUAAUGGUCGUAUUUCUCGCAAUAUAAGCGAUGCAUUGCUGCCACCGAUAGAUCACUUGGAAGGUAACAUAAUGAUGUAUCACGACGACUAUAGUGCGACUCGUAUGAUGGAAAACUGUUAAUGAAUUCAAUAAUUUCGUUUUGCUUAUUAGAUGAUAAUUGUCUGGCAUUUUUGUGUGUCCCACGCAUAUCUGUAAAUCCAGUUCCCUCAAUUUUUGCUGAGAUUAUGAACUGAUUUUAUGAACUGUUCUGACUCGCACAAAGUAAAUCUAAAGCAUUUUUGGCAUACUGAUAUUUUUUCAGUAUUCACUUCUAAAAAAUAGUUGUUAGAAUAAUCUCUUCUUCUUGGAUUUACAGCAGACUUAAACCGCUUAAUAGUUUUAGUAGUCUGCAGUUCAAUCAACGCAGCAACAGCUGCUCUGCGCAAACGAUAUGACCCGUGUGUCCAAUAAGCCUUAUGUAUUUCUUUUUGCUGGUCAUAAGAUAUUUUAGAAGCGCAGUUUUUCCUGCAAGCUUCCAAUUUACGCAAUACCCGCGCGGAAAUGUAAGAUUUUCCCUCGUUUCUCAGCUGCUUUGCAAGUUUAUUUGACGAUACUGCAUUAUUCGCAACGCUUGAUGUGUUUUCCUAAAUUUAAAUUUUUAAUACAUAAUUUCAAGCAAUAAAUGUGUAAUAUCACAAAACUAUUUACAAUAUCAUGGUUAGUAUCACUUAAAAUUGAAUUCUGAUCAACAUCAUCUUCAUCUGCCGUAUAAUCAACUGUUAAUGAAUUCAAUAAUUUCGUUUUGCUUAUUAGAUGAUAAUUUUCUGGCAUUUUUGUGUGUCCCACGCAUAUCUGUAAAUCCAGUUCCCUCAAUUUUUGCCGAGAUUAUGAACUGAUUUUAUGAACUGUUCUGACUCGCACAAAGUAAAUCUAAAGCAUUUUUGGCAUACUGAUAUUUUUUCAGUAUUCACUUCUAAAAAAUAGUUGUAAGAAUAAUCUCUUCUUCUUGGAUUUACAGCAGACUUAAACCGCUUAAUAGUUUUAGUAGUCUGCAGUUCAAUCAACGCAGCAACAGCUGCUCUGCGCAAACGAUAUGACCCGUGUGUCCAAUAAGCCUUAUGUAUUUCUUUUUGCUGGUCAUAAGAUAUUUUAGAAGCGCAGUUUUUCCUGCAAGCUUCCAAUUUACGCAAUACCCGCGCGGAAAUGUAAGAUUUUCCCUCGUUUCUCAGCUGCUUUGCAAGUUUUCUUGACGAUACUGCAUUAUUCGCAACGCUUGAUGUGUUUUCCUAAAUUUAAAUUUUUAAUACAUAAUUUCAAGCAAUAAAUGUGUAAUAUCACAAAACUAUUUACAAUAUCAUGGUUAGUAUCACUUAAAAUUGAAUUCUGAUCAACAUCAUCUUCAUCUGCCGUAUAAUCAAUAUCUUCUUCAUCUGCCGUAUAAUCAACAUCAUCUUCAUCUACGGUGUUAUCACAAGAAUUAGCAACUGCGGCAUUUGCCGUAUUAUUAGUAUUGAGCCCGAUUUUAUUAUUAUGUUAGUACAUAAAGUAUCAAUAAAUACAACUUCUAUUUCAGUAUUAUUAUCAGCACAUGUAUUAUCAGUUAAUAAAGCAUUCAAUAACUCUGAAGAAACACUUUCGUUAAAAAUAUUAUAAUCCAUUUUUCUACGACACUACUCGCGCCAGCACUUUCUACAAACUGAACACAACAACUUAUGUUUGCAAAAAAAUUCCGAAAGCACACACUAAAAACAACCUACAUGCAGUUAAAGUACUGUUAUAUUUCAACGGCACUUUAACAUAAUAGCCUUAGUAGAGUUAAGAUGUUUUGCAAAAAUGAAGAUUUCAAAUAUCGUAAAAAUUAAAUUUUGUUAUAAGAACGUAUGUUCACUUAAGUAGACCAAAUUAAAGCAGGUCGUUGUAAUAUAAGAGCUUAGUUAAAUAUAAAUUGUUUUUUUAUGAGCUAUAAUUUGAAUCGGCUGUUAGUUAUUCAACUUAAGUGUGUAUAAGUUUUAAUGCACAAACAUUUUAAUAUUGAUUAAACUACCUUUAAAAAAAUUAAGUGGAAUUAAUAUGUUGUGGCUAAUGUAUUAUUUUCCAAAAAGAAAAAAUAAAAUAAAAUGUAAAUGCGUAUAACUUCAUCAAAAAUAACAUUUUGUAAUUGAAAUUUGGCUCAGUGCUAGAACAUGAAGAGGAGAAUUAAAAUAUGUAAUAAAAUCAAAAAGCACUUAUGUCGACUUAAGCCGUAAUUAUUUGUUGCCACAGAUAUGUAUUUCGAGUUGCCCCGUUAAGGUGCCGUCUAAUUGAUUGGUGUGAGGGGCGACAAUGCGACAAUUUUCAAAUAACUUAAAUUUUCAAACUCGUGAUAUCUUUCAAAUUGAAUAAUUCAAAAAGUUAUAUAUUAGUAUUAAAGCAGUCUUAUAUAUGAAGUUAUUUAUUUUGAAUACCAAAGUAUAAAAAAGCAGCUUUUAUAGCGCUGGUAUUUAAACAUAUAUUUUUUAAUGAAAAAAACAGUUAUUGUGACAUAACUAUAAUAGUUAGACAUAUGCUGUCGUGAUAUUUUUUGUAGAUAUUGAUAUGGUAUUUAAUAUUAGCUGUCAUCUUGUCUAUAGCAGACAGCCAAUCGAACAAACUUUCCAAAUUUUCAUACGAACUGGCAGCACUGAAAUCGAAUUGUCUAUACUUGAGCACUGAACUCUUUGACAGUUCGCUAAUAAAACAAUUAAAUUUUCAAAGUUGAAAAAGAUAGAAUCAUUUUAUGUUAAAAACGAAAAUGGAAAACAAUGAGUAUUUUAAUUUGGUUUCUCAGUAUUUACAAAAUGAAGAGGAGCUUAUGAUUGGGAGUGCUGGUAUACGAGCAUUUUUAGAUGAAAUGCCAUCUAGCUUCAGCUCGGAAUCUUCAUUAAGCUCUGAGGAAUUGGAAAGGGGGGAAACCUCUAAAUGACAAAACUUUUGCGAAGUCAUUGAAGGUUAUGGCGAGAAUGAAUUCAAAUCGCACAUGAGAUUGUGGCGUUCGACCGUUUAAUAGAGAAAUAUACAAAUAGCAUUGAGCCCAAAUCAAAUACUGGUGGAAGAGAAAUUGUACCACCUAGAAAAAAAUUGUUUAUUUAUAUUUGGUACAGGAGUAACACCGUCACUUUUCGGCAGCUUACCAAUUUGCAUGGAGUGUCUUCUUCUAGCGGAUGUGACUAGUUGGGUUAUAUCGAUUUCUCACGAAUACAUACGGUGGACAAAUAGUACUGUCGCAGUUGCAACAAAAAGGAAGUUUGAGGCAAGAUGUGGUUUACCAAAUGUAAUCGGUUACAUAGACUAGACUCAUUCGUAUAAAAGCUCCUUAUUUCCAUAUUUCGAUAGAAAGCAUACAUAUAGUAUAGUGCUUCAAGCAGUUGUGGAUAGAGACCAGAGAGCUGCAACGGAUAUAUCAUUUUCGUGCACACUCGAAUGUCCACUUUGAUUUUGUUUGAUCAAACUUUUCGGUAUGAAUACACGUAUUGAUCGCUUGGAGACAUGUUCAAAACGAACGAGCCUUUCGCGACACUCGAAACACAAGCAUAUAUGCUUGUUUUAACAGAGUGCCGAGUUGACACUCGUUUGUGAACGAGCUGGCACUCUAACCCGAUCGUAUUGAAUGUGAUCGAGUCACACACGAGUGUGCACAAAAUUUCAGAAUAUGUAUGUAUGUAAUUGGCAGUCAUGCUAUUAUUGCGUAGUGAUUGUCAACGAUUAUUAGUUUUGUUUGUUUUGUUUACUUUUUAUAAUUCAUAAUGACAACGAUAGAAAAUUCGGGUUGUGAGAACAUUUCCAAUGGCACAAACACCUUAUCUGGUCUACACCUGAAAUUUGUGAUUUAAAAAAAAUUAAAAUAUUUAAGUGCAAUGAAAUGUUUUUUAUUUAUGAUUUAUGAAUUAAUAAAUAAAAUAAGUUUUGAGUGAAUUCUAUUCUUAAAUUGAAUUAUUCUUUUAUAAUAUGUACUAUGUACGUCUAAUAUUCAAAUUAUUCAACCAAAAAAGCUAAGACAGAACGCGUCAUCCCGACGCCAACAUACAUACAUAUGUUUAUCUAUUAUUUUUUGGUCUUCGAGUGCCACUCGAGUGUGUCGAUCACAAUCAACACGUGCACGACACACCCGAAAAUAUAAUAUACAUAAAAUCCGAGUUUGCUGCCUGCACUCGAAGAUAGGACCGUCUUGAUUGUUCGUUUGCGUUAUUUUCGCUUCGGGUUCUAAACUCGAUCGAACACGUGUUUGAAGAGUGUUACGACACACUCGUACCGAAUUUAAGCUAGUGUGAUUGAACACACUCGAACAUACCCGAAGCUGCUCUCUGAUAGAGACCGACCGAUUAAUUGGCCUUGGUAUCGGCAUCGGCUAUUAUUUGUCGAUUCUUUUUACUUCUUUUACCCUAAAAUAAUUCAAAAAUUUUGCACUAAAUUGAAGUUUCUAUUUAGCACUGUUAGAAAGAUUCGAUUUAUGUCAAAUAUUCAACGUUUGUUUAACAACUUGUUGAGAUUUUGAAAUAAUAGCUGUAAUCGAUUGGUCACUUCUCUGCUCGUUAUCUUUGGGCGCUGCUCACCUGUCAAAAAUUGUACAUGUGAAAGCAACAACAUAGUUAUCUAGUUGAAUUCGUACAGGAG